GCAAAGGAUCACAUUCCAAUUAUUGCAUCCGUCGUUGAGCAUCAUUUCGGCAUGCUAUUGCGUGAGCCAUGCAUUAUGACGUACGUUAGAAUUUAUAAUGCAUUCCCAAAAUUUGAACUACCAAAAAGAAAUUAAGUUGGAGAAAAUGAUAUCAUAAUGGCUUCGCUGAAUCAUGAUCUUUAAAGCUCAGCUGAUAUUUAGAGAAACAACAUUGACUAGUUACAUAUAUUUUGACAACUGUGAACAAUAAUAAUCUAAUGCUCAAAAAACUUAUCAGAUCAAACAAUAAUUCAGACCCCUUAAAAGCAUCCCUUCUCAUCAGAAGUUCAGAACUGCUGUGCAAAUUGUCAACUGUAUGAAUUGGUCUUUCAGGGCAAGAGUGAACUUUGACGAUUUUCAGCAACUUUUUCUUGUGCUUUCCAAAAUUGUGCAUGGACUUGAUCACCUAUUGAAGAAAUAACUUCCUCAAUCUUUCAGCAGCAGCGGCUGCUCUUUUAUUCGUUGGUUCAGGAACAUGUGCAUAUUUAAAAUCUGCAGGAUAAUACAAAAUCUUAUUCGUGUGGUGUUCUGUGCUUGCUGGUUGAUUAGAUUGUUGCUAUGAUCAAAUCUUGCACCCCAAAUUGUCUUGCUAUGAUCAUUUUGAAGGAUCCUACAGGUACAAUUGGUUCCACCAUCCACCGCAAAGCCCUUUCCGAGGGAGUUUGGGAAGAGCAUCUUUGUGGGUGCAGUUUUUGUUCUGCAGAAGGUCAUUUCCAAGGACAGUGGACCUCUUGCCACACAAGAUUUUCCAAUUUCAUCAGUUAACAUUCCUGCUCCCAUCAGUGGUAAGUCAAACUUAUACAAGGAAAAGUUGCUUCUCAUUUUAUAUGUUGCCUGUGGGUGCGAGAGAUAAGAUUGUAACAUGAAUUCUUAUGUUUCUUAGUAAAACUUAAUUGUUUGUACUCUUUGUUCUUUACAGCAGAAAGCAAAGUGGUUUCCUCU